GAGAGGAGGCAACGAAGGAGCAGCUCUGCUCCCGACUCUCCAUCCCAGAGAAGUCCGAGAGGAAGAAGACCGAGAGAAGUCCACGGUCCCGCCCGGCCGCUGCAUCCCAUAAGCUGCCUGAAGUGACAACCAAGACGUCCGCCGCGAGGUCAAGAGGACAUGAUGAGCCAUGAAGAUGUUGGUUGAACCUCAGACAACAAGACUUAACACAUGGGCAGUGGUUUACGCGUCACACCGUCAAAGGAUCCUUCGGGAGUUGACGCACAGACCUGCGACAUGGGGAGCCUGAACCCUUCCGGUCAUCUUCCCCCAACACAAGAGGAUGUGUUUCAGAUAACCCAGUGGGCAGAACAGCACACACCAACGUGAACCCUCGCUCAUCUCAAAGUAUCACCGGAUCAUCUGUUUUGUAUCAAAAGUCUUACAUGAAAGUAUUCUGCGCAGCUCAAGCAAUUCCUUGCAAAUAAAUGUAGUUGAAUCAAAAGUAUAAUAUGGUCUUCUGAAAUCUACUGGAAGUAAAGUACAAUGGGUGGGAGGG
ensembl:lncRNA